GAGGAGGGGGGACGGGAACCGCGGGCAUACACCGGGCCCUGUCACCCCCCCCCCCCCGCCCCGCAGCCCGUGUCAAUUCCCGCCCGGGGCGGAGAACGACGCAUCGGCGGCCCCGGGAGGACACCGCCGGCCCGGGGGGAACAGCGGCAGGCAGCGGCUGCUUUUCUGGGAAAUCUUUUUCAGCGCCCAAAUUUCAGUCGUACGGAGCCUCGUGAGACGGGGGGAUGCUCUUCUGGGCAGCUGAAGCAAGGAAGCGCAGGGCCAAAAUCUGUGAUCCACAGCAGCGACCUUGUGUCUAACAAGUCGGAGGCUCGCAAGGGGAUUGAGGGGUCAUGGAGGAAGACCGUGAAGGAUGCCGGUCGUUACCUGAUCAGAGGCGCGUAUUAAACAGAGUCACGUGGUGAGUCUUGUGUUACGUCUGCCACCACUAUAGGAGACAUACGCGCCUAAUGCCCAUCCAAAAAGAACCCCUUCCCCAAACCCGCCCUGCCUCUGUGUUUUAAAUUCAUGCUUUUUCACUCCUCACUGAGACUUUUUAAGCGAGGAGGUUUCUUUUUUUCCUCCUGUCCACUCCCACGCCUCCCCGUCUGGACCUUUUCCCAGGACGCUGAGCAUAUAGUUACAUUGGACAAACAUGUAUCCUUUUUUUUGUAACGACUGGUUUUACGUAUGGACAUAUCUCUGAUUGAAAAAUAACAAUUUUAGUCUGGGGAAUGCCAGGUGAGAUGUAAACAUCCAAACAGCUGCCGGGCCU
rnacentral:lncRNA from 1 species